GAAAAGAGAAAGAAGGAGAAAGGAAAAGAGGAAGAAGAAGAAAGAAGAAGGGAAAAUCGACCAUAGAGCUUCAUCGAAACUGUGUCUUGGUAUUUUGAGCCCGGUUUAAUGAUCAGUUCGCCGAGGUCUUCGAAUUGAGGAAAGAAACCACUUAGAUCUUGCUAAUCCUACUUGGAUAAUCAAAUCUAAAGUCUAAUGGGAGGUGUGCAUAAUGAUUUUGAAAUAUUUGGAAGGAGUGUUGGUGAAGAUCUAGAGUAUUUGGAGGUUCUUGAGCAAAAGAAGUGAAAUUUGGGGUUUCAUUAGUGUUAUUGAGAAAGAGGUUACACACAUUAUACACGUAUUUACACAUCGGAUCU